rnacentral:rRNA from 1 species
UGGGGAAUAUUGCACAAUGGGCGGAAGCCUGAUGCAGCGACGCCGCGUGAGGGAUGACGGCCUUCGGGUUGUAAACCUCUUUCAGCAGGGAAGAAGCUUUCGGGUGACGGUACCUGCAGAAGAAGCGCCGGCUAACUACGUGCCAGCAGCCGCGGUAAUACGUAGGGCGCAAGCGUUGUCCGGAAUUAUUGGGCGUAAAGAGCUCGUAGGCGGCUUGUCGCGUCGGAUGUGAAAGCCCGGGGCUUAACCCCGGGUCUGCAUUCGAUACGGGCAGGCUGGAGUUCGGUAGGGGAGAUCGGAAUUCCUGGUGUAGCGGUGGAAUGCGCAGAUAUCAGGAGGAACACCGGUGGCGAAGGCGGAUCUCUGGGCCGAUACUGACGCUGAGGAGCGAAAGCGUGGGGAGCAAACAGG